CGAUGUAGGAAGAACAAAGAAUUGGUAAGUUAAUUCAUAUUACGCAUUGUUACGUACACCAUGCUAUUUUCUAGAAUUUGAGAUGUGACGUCUUGAAGUGGUGAUGACGUAACAGAACAACCAACUUCAAUAUGAUAUAUAUGUGACGUCACAGAGGAUUAAGCGGACCAUCGCACAUAAAGAAGAAUGAAGAAAUAUCGGCACUAAGCUGCAGAAGAAAAGCACAAGCCGAAGAACAAAGACGAAAACGCCAUUGAAGGAAAUAUGGUUUGAGGUUUUUAGUUUUGUGUUAUGUGUGUUUGAUUGCGCUGUUGUGUUGUCAGCUAUAAUUCUGCUGGAGCUAACUUUGCCAGCUUUUUUUAG